rnacentral:misc_RNA from 1 species
GUCGGCUAUAUGGAUAUGGAUUCGCAUUUUUGUGGAGUUAAAUAUGUCAUUGGUUUUAAAUGUAUUUAAUUUGGUUAAUUUAUGUCGACCGUGCUCUAAGACCAACCAUGUUUGGUAAUUUGUACACGUUUACUCUUUAUGUAUACUUUUACUUCUUGAUGAAUUUGCAGUGUUUGAUUAAGAUGAUGUACAAUGACUAAGUUACUUGUGUGAGUUGAUAUUUCUUACUUAUCAUGCGUGGUCCUUGUCCCAACUUCAAAUUGGAAAUGGCUUUCAGUAAGAAUGAUUAAUGGUUUUGUGGUUUUUGAAGUUCAUAUACAUUUAGCUGAUCACUUUGCCUUUAUUUGAAUGAACUGUAGAGGAAUCAGAGACUGACAGUGA